rnacentral:tRNA from 23 species
GGAGAGGUGGAUGAGUGGUUUAAGUCGCACGCCUGGAAAGCGUGUUUAGGGUAAUACCCUAACGGGGGUUCGAAUCCCCCCCUCUCCGCCA